ACAAGAAAAAACAGAGCCGAAACACGAGACACUCGAAAUCUGUGUGUAAGAUGAUCGAAAUAUUGUUGAAAAAGGGAAAAUAUAUUUCGCGCUGAUCUACAUGUUUGACGUAAAUCCGUUAUCGAGAAAUCGUAUUUAAAUCGAGAAAACGAGUAUAAGAUUUUCAUUUAUUUCGAAUUCGGUAUUCGGACGCGCAAGGUCCGCUACAAUAGUGGUUC